rnacentral:lncRNA from 13 species
AUUUCUCUUGUUGAAAAACAAGAUCAGAAGACCAUAAUUGUUUGUGGUUUUUGUUUUCCCUAAGUAAGACGUGGUCCCUAAAGCUCCCUCCGCCCUGGCAGAACAUCACAGAGGUCUCACAGGCUGCUUUGAGGCUUUUGCACAGGCUGGAAGACAACUCUUUGGAGUUCAGGGAGAAGCACCGAGGAUUCCAUGAAGCCACAGCCAUUUCCCUGCUGCUCCUCAGGCCAGCCACAUGGUGCUCAACCAUUGCUGAAUAGAUAAACGAAUGAAUGACCGAGACACAUUCUGAUAACACUAGAGGUAGAGAGGAAAACCU